UCUUUUAUGAGUUGGAGGAGACUAGUUUUUUUUUUUCUUGUCAAAGUGCAGCCUGUGUUGGAUAUCUUUCCAGCCAGCUAGCUAUCUCCCACUCAGAGGAAAGAGUUGAGAUUUUUCUAAUGCCUGCUAGGAAUUUUUUAUUCUGAUUUAGGGAAGGUUUCUGAAGGAAUAAGACUAUACAUGUGCGCAUGCGACAUAAUUGCAAGAAGUGCUCAGUCAAGGAGCUUUGAAAGAGGUGACCUUGGGCUUUAGAUGGUGGGGCAUUUGGAAGAGGCACAGCUCCACACCUGUUUUUUUUUCCUCACCUUAACCCUUUCCUGUUCAGCAAAUCUUUUAUCGUUAAGAUUGCAUUGACGUUAUUGGUGGGAAGAAUGAGUCCAAGACAGUUUUUGUAGAUCUGAGAAAUUCCGAGCAAUUUGUGUUGCUUCUGAAUCAGUGGCGAAAGUUUUCCAAAACAGUUAUGUACAUGCUGUUAAAAUCAACAAACUUGUAGAAAUUAUUAGGUGAGGCGGAGUCUACAAGAAACCAGGGCAACUAGUGUCCGUGUACAGAACCACAUCUAAUAGGUGCUGGGAAGCGAGAACGUCACCAUUGUUUCAUCAAGGGGUGUUUUUUGGUGCUGGGAGGUGAGGACGUCACCAUUGUUACAUCAAGGGGUGUUCUCGGUGUGAGGUAGUAGGUUGUAUGGUUGAGAACUACAUCUUUGGGGAGAACUGUACAGCCUGCUAACUUUCCCCGGGUCACACCAUAUCAACCAGAAAUUUGUCCCCUGUUCACAUGAACUACCCAUAUUGAGGAGCAGCAAGAGUGUUUUAGGUGAAAACUCAAUUUUAAUAAUUAUGUUUAUCAGAUUCUGAACAUUAAAACCUAGCUAGGUAUUCGAAAGACUUUUUUUUUGUGACUUAAGCGGAACACAUAACGUAUACCCUUUUAUGUUUGAUGUUAUAUUCAACCUCGAUGUUGAGUGAUUAAUAUAGCAUUUGGUUUUUGAUUCAGUGUCAAAAUUCAUUGGUGUUACUUGCACAUAAGCUUAAGUUUUGUUUCUGAAUUUUAGAAUAAGUUUUAUUUUCCUUAUCAUUCUAGCAGAAGUAAGCUAUUAAAUUUCAUGACCAUUGGUUUAAGAUUUUUUUAAAAUAAUAUUAGUAAAUUGGCAUUUAACUGGGUUUGUUUUCAUAUUGUACAAUGAAAUAAAAAGUUUUAUCAUAUUUUUAGAUGGUGAAAUUAUUUUUAUUUAUUGUGUUGCUUACUGAAUCUCAGUUAUUAAUGCGUUAGGAUAACUAGGUUAUGUUUUUAGCGAAAAUUCACGUUAAACUUAUUUGAUAAAAUAUAUUCCAUUCAGUAAUAUUAGAAGAAAUUAGGAAGUUUAUCGUCACCUAUUGUAAUUCUUGUCUUCUUUGAUGAAAAAAAAAAUAUCUUUAAGAGUUACGAGGAAGGUACUUUUGCUAAGAUUAAAAGUAAUAAAGUUUUCAAACACAGAAAUCUGGCCAUGAACAGGAAUAACAUUGAGUUAUUUUGUGAUCUAGAGUAUAUCUAAACAAUUGAAACUUCGUUAACGGCAUACCAAAAACGACGUGAUAUCCCCAAAUUUCACGAGAACAGAAGUGUUAAAGCUUUACAAACCCUCUGGCAUUAAAGCUUUAUCACGUUAUUCCUACGUAAUGCAGAAGGAAACGGCUCUACAAGCUUCUCGUUAUCGAACCUGCUUGAAAAAGGAGUCAGCCAACAAUGUGAACUGCGGCCGCGCUCUGAACCCCUGCAGGCAUCUGCUAGAAAGGAAAAAUUUUCUGUCAACCAACCAUUAGGCUGGUCGCCAUGAUUCAGACAUCUGCCGUACAGCGCUGUCUCUAACCGACCCCGACCAGCUGCUACCCCUUCUUCUGUUGCUACUCUUUGUGAAAGGGUUUGGGAGUAAGAUUAUAAUGAUUUUUUUUCUUUUUUUACCAGUUAUAUCUGGCUGGCAAGAGAUGUUUGAUAUUUACGACUAGUGAAUAGAGAAUGAGACGUUCUUAAGGCUUUACAUAUUUGAGUUUUCUCUUGAUCAAGCACUUAAGUUAACACAUUAUCCAGCGUAAUAUCAGUUCUGUGCAUAAGGUAAUAAAUGCUUGCCUGUGUUGUAGAUAGUGAUAAGUAUCAUUCUGACGUCAUAAGCUCACUUAAAGCGUCCAGUUUAAUUUUUUUAAACCAGAAAUGAUAUUUUUUUUAUAAGACAGUUAACGUAUUGAAUAGUUUACACCUUCUGGUUUACAAGUACUAAAAUAUAUUUGAUUACUUGAAAUAAGAAGCCAACUAUAACAAUCUCAUAACGACCACAGCUUGUAAGGUAUCUUUAUACAAAGAAGCAAUAUUAAACUAACCAUUCAAAACUGAUAAACAACCCCUGAUUUGCAGGUAUGCGUUGGAAUAACCAAAACUUUAAAUUUUGUAAUAAGAAAUACAGUUUUAAUCACUCCAGAAAAUGCUGGAAAUAAUUGUUUAAUGGGGCCUACUGAAACUUUAAAGAUAAACAAUAUGAAAUUUUCUAGAGUAACGAAAGGUUUUGCAGAAUUAAACCUUCACGGUUAGUUAUAAUAAGAUGAAAUGCAUUUAGCUAGGGGGUGUGCAGAUAAAAACUUUUUGUCGUGUUGAAAUUCUGUAGCAAAACAGAUGUUUAAAGAUAAACAAUAUGAAAUUUUCUAGAGUAACGAAAGGUUUUGCAGAAUUAAACCUUCACGGUUAGUUAUAAUAAGAUGAAAUGCAUUUAUCUAGGGGGUGUGCAGAUAAAAACUUUUUGUCGUGUUGAAAUUCUGUAGCAAAACAGAUGGGAGAAUUAUCUAUAGAGGGCACAGAAAGUUUCAAAUUUACAUAAAAAUAAUUUAAGUCUAUAUGAAAUCGUGCGGAUAUAUCCGAAGAAUGGAGCUGAUAUAGUUUCUAACUAAAAAAAUUUUAUAAAAUCUUUGUUGUGGUCUUUUUGAAUAAUACCGAGCCAUGCAGCUGUGAAGUUGUUAGAUUAGGUGUGUUUUGUUUUUAUAUAAUGUCUGUAUCGAUAUUAUCUGUGACUUGAAUUUUCUUUCGAUGGUCGUUUUUAUCAUAUAUUAAAACGUAUAAACAACAAAUUAUGUGAAGAAUGAGUCGAUACUUUAAAAGUGUUGCAUGCUUACUUCGCGUUAAGGUGCUUCAGUGCAGGUAGUCGACGACCUUAUUUUAUAUCGUUAAAAUAAAUUUGAUUAUGAAUUGAAUCAAAAUUUAGCACCAAAAUAGGAAACACCAUAUAAGUGAGUGGAAACGAUCUCCUUAAAAAAAAUUAAUUGUGAAGAAGGUUUUGUGUAAAUUGAUAUCAUUUUUGAUAUUGCUAGAAAUUAUUAACAAGGAAAGCGUCGGGUGGCAGAAACAUAUUAACAACACAUUAAUGCACAGAAUUAAUUUUGAAAUGACUCCUUUCAAUUAUCAUGUGAUUCUAAGCGUGCUCACUGUUUGCCGCAAGCUUAGUCAUCCUUUGGAAACGAACCCCAUAACACUGCCUGUCAGAGUUCGAGUUUAUUACUUUGUAGUUUAAUUUACAUAAACACGUGGCUGAAAGAGUUGUCUUUGAAAUUUACACAUACAAGUUUCCUAAUAACCAAUACCACCUGCGGUAUGAACAUAUUUGUGUUAUUAAUCAGAAGUUAUGCCCUCUUUGUAACCUGCUUAUUGUUUUCAUACAGUAUUUAUAAAACUGCUUUUGGUGUGGCAUUUUAGGAGCUGUUACACCCUGCAGAUACUACAGUUCGACAUCUGUUUGAACAGUGUAUUUUGUGGGCGGCGGGCGUCACUUUGUUUAAUUGCAAAUAUAUUUAUAUAUAUUUACAUAUAAAUAUAUAUAUAUUCGGAAAUGUGUAUAAGACAUGAAAUCUUUUGACUAUAUUUCUAAACUUAUGUUCUCUUAUCAUAAUUCUUACCUCUGGUAAAUUACUAAACAAACAUUUUCUCUACACAUACUUAUUGUUAUUAUUUCUCCAUAAUAAUUAGAAUAUAAUUCGUGGCUACAUUUUGCAGAUAUAAUGUUUGUCGUUAAGCACAAAGCCACACGAUGGGCUAUUUGUGCCGUAUUAAACACGAGUUUCGAAACCCGUUUUUAGGGUCAGAAGUCUUGUGACUUAUCGUUGAGCCACAGGGGGCGCAGAUAUAAUAACGAAAACAUUACGUAGCUUUUCGCACUUGAGAAUCUGAACGUUUUUCCUAUUCCUGUCCCCCUGACCGUAAUAUCUGUAUUUUAAUGUAUUGUUUAGGAUUGGUUAUUAAAAAUGACCUUAAUAACUGUAUUUUAAUGUAUUGUUUAAGAUUGGUUAUUAAAAAUGACCGUUAUAUCUGUAUUUUAAUGUAUUGUUUAGGAUAUAGUUUGUAAUCUAAAUUUGUUGUUAUUCACAUGUUACUUUUCUGAAUUACAAUCAGUUUUAACAUACAAGGUGUAUGCUUUUUUCCUGUUAUUACCAACGUAUGCUAGACUUUGAUAAAAUCGACUCUAGUGAUGAUGAAAUAAAUAUCUUAAUAUGUAUUGCACUUUUAUAGACGUCCUAAAACUUAUUUUAUUUUCUCUUUUUAACUUACCAUUGUAAUACUUGAUAUUUUGUGUUCAGUCUCUGUGUUGUUUUUGUGAUUUAUUGGAAUAAACUGUGUUUGUGAUCUACAUAAGUUCAUAUAUUUUUAAAAAAAAUAUUCAAAAAUUAAAAAGAGUACAUUUGCAGUGAAUGCGAUAUUCGUUUAGUCUUGUUCGAACGAAAUAUUCCGUUUCCCAAGCCUCGUUUCUGGACAUUAACUUGGACAGUUUACCAGUUAAUUCUGUCGACUUUCGGUGAAUUAUUUUAUUAGCUUUUUUCUCGCACGCAAUUCUUCUUGUAUCUUGUAUAAAGAUGAAAAACAUAUCAUCAGAGGAAAAAAACUAUGCGUAGAGUGGGUAUUACAAGCUGUCUCCAUGGUGAGUGUGGUUUAUGUUUUCAUUGUAUUCUUGUUUUAAAACAUUGAACCUUAAUUUAUGGUACUAAUUCAGAACUUAAAUAUUUAAGGACGUUUCUGUUAAGCCUGAACAACAUGCAAUUACUUUGAUAUUUCUGAGUAGCAUUCUCAGAGUGUUACUUCUAUAAGUUCUUUAUCUUGAUGAAGCACGAGCACGAAGCUAUUAAAUCUAGAAUCUACGACAGGAGAUAUCUAUCCACUGGCGAAUGGGUGGGUGUGAGUUAAUACAGGCCCCCUGGGCUUCAGUCAUGUUCGACCUUCAUAGAAGUACAGUAGAGGUAGCUUACAGACCUUUUGUUGACUUUAGAGCAACAGAAUCUUUUUUAAAAUAAACAGGUAUGGCAAGCUUGAUGAAGGUUGUUUGAGGAUUAAAGCGAAUGUUAAAUUCUCAUUUAGCAUUUUGACCCCCACACCCCCUCUAGAUAGAGAAUUUUGUCCCCACGAUACUUUACUUCUGAUUAUCAAUAUUAAAACGUAAACAAAUAAUAAUGAGAUAAAUCGAUAGAUGGGUGUAAAUUUUAGAUCAAAAAUGGUGGAUAUAUCAAAGUUAUCCGUCAGGUUUGGAGGUGGGGAAAGUUUUAAUGCAAGCUGCGCAACAAUUAAUGAACUUUAUGGAUGCGUCUUGAAAAAUCUGGGUCUUUCGGGACCCAAAUCUUAAAUCUAUUUUUGUAUCUAUCUGCAGUUCAAUAUACACCCAAUACAAGCUACAUAGUGCCUAAAAACCACUGCUUUGGAUUCUCUAAAGAAUAAUUAAAUUGGAUUUCUUGUUCACGCAAGAGACCACCUGCCUCAACGGUAUCUCUUGACAACCUGAUGGAGUGUUAUUGCUUAAUAACUAAACACCUUGCUCCUGCCUCCUCGCUCAUUUUGUUGGUUCAAACUAGUUUAUGCUACCCCAACAUUUCAGAACCUAUUCACUCAAGAAUGUAAAUACAGCGUGUUUAUGUUGAUAAUGCUACUCUUUACAUGUAUGUGUGGUGCACAUGUAAGUGCAUGUAUAAUAAUAAUAAUACUAUAAAAACGUACUUAAAUUUACGUUUUUAUGUAUGGACAGUAGUAAUACUGUACAAAAGUACUUCGAUUAAAGUUUAUGUGUAUACGAUAUACGUUUGACCCCUUCACCUGAACUGAAAAGUCAAGGUUAACACUACAUAAACCUUGUGCUUCCAUUUAUAAACUCUGAGCACUCUUAUCACAUUUCAAUCAUCCUAGACUUCAUCCACCAGAAAGAUCUUUGUGGGAUGUUUGUUUAUUCAUCGGAAAAUUUUGCUGAGCUCAGAUAUCAGUAUCUGAAGUGAAGAAAAACUUAUGCGCGUGUUUCUUAAUUUAUCGGGUUCAGUUUGACAAGUUGAAAAUAGUAAAUAGUAAAACAAAAUUUACAGAUAUGUCGACUAUAAAAUGACAAAUCCCCAUUCUUCAAGUGUUCAAGAGUUUAGUGAAAGAACUACAAAUUAAAUCUGACAGAUGCUUGUAUGAUAGAAUGGAUAGCAACAUUUUUCUUCCUUCCAUUGCAUCACUAUAAGCUUUAGUUUCUAUACCAGAGAACCAUGUUUAAACUGAAAAGAAUAAAAAAAAGUUUAUAACUAUUUAUUUAUUUUGUAUUUCAGUCUUUAUUGCAAUUUGCUUGUAAAAGUUGUUUUUGUUGACUUGUUUCUAUUUAUUUCUAAUAAAAUUUUCAUCUUACCAUUAGAAAGGAAAUGUUCGUAAAAAUAAACAAUACAAGUAACUCAUCACAACUUAGUAGGACUUGCUCGUGAUAUGUCAUACCAUUGAACAGGACCCAAGAAGUCACAUUAACACUAUAAACCAUGCUCAGUUUCGGAAAAAAAUAAUAAAGCUUAAACAGGUGUUAAACCACAAGCAGGGAUAAAUCAUACCACAACAGCUCAGCUAAAUCUAGAAGCUCAAAAAUUGGCAAAGAUCACGUCAGCAAUACUGGAAUAAUAAUGUGAGAAGAACCGAGCCAAAUCAACAAGCAACUUUUAACGACAAACACAGAAGCAAAACUAAAAGCACAUUGACAAGAACUGUACUCAAUCACCACGAAGAUUGAACAAAGAUCACAUCAGCAGAAUUAGAACGACAUUAGAGAUUGAGUAGAUAUAAUAUAUAUCAGACCUUCCUCAGUCUAAAGAAGGUCAGGGACUAAUUUCUUUCGAAACGUGCUAUUUCGUCUUCUAGAUAUCGUUGAGAUACACUUCGGUUAGUAAUAUGGAACAUUUCAGCUCGAUCGAUGCCUGCCUACCAAUGAUCUUCUCUGUGCUAUUCUUUUUGAUUUAUUAUUCUAAUCCCAAACUAAGCUUGCAUUCCAUGAGUGAAAACAUAGUUGCAAUUUUUAACAUUCAUUAAUGUAGAUGAAACUACCGAUAUAACUGAGGAAGAAGAUUAUCUAUCAUGUCGAUAUUUAAAGAAUAUCUAAUAUGUGAAUAUAAUUAAAAAAUAUAUAGUUGGAGAUAUAGUGAACUGAAGUAAGCCGUUUGAAAAUAACAACACAGAAGAGUCAUUUGAUGAAACUGACUCGCAACCAAAUACAUUUGCGGAUCUUUACUUUGAUAUAAUGUAGGAGCAGUACAAACAUUUAUUACUGUUUUAUAAGGUAUUUUUAAUUCACAUUAUGUACACGAUUUCUCUGGCAAUAAAUGAAGUAACAACCCUUUUUUAAGUGUGUUCAUGGUGUGAUGAUUAUUGUGUAUUAUGUGUGUUAUACAACCCUUUUAAGAAUACACUUGUGUGUUGGUAAUAGAAUAUUAUGUGUUCUGUUUCUCUCUAUGUAUCUCUCUUUUUUUCCAGAUACGAAAUUGUUUGUUUGAGUUUAUAGUUUCGUAUGAUGUUAUUAUCGUAAUAAUUCAGAAAUGCAUUGGCAACCAAAAGUGUUUUCAUAAGUUCAUCUCUUCAAUAAAUAUUCUAUUUUGUAAACUUUAAGCUCAAAAUGUAGUGCUUAUAUCAUAAAUAUCGUAAGCUAUCCUACAGUGCAUAAUAUACAGGUGAUUGAACAGAUGUUACAGAGGAUAAGUUGUUUAUCACAUACCUUUUUUUGUUCCAAACAUAGUAAUGGAAUGACAAAUAUCACUUAGAUAUUACAAAACUUGUUUCUUUGUAAAAGCCCGAAGUCUAUAAUAACUUCUUGACAAGGUCUUAUUGUUUUCUAGCUUGUUCUACUGUUGUUUUUGUCACAUCCUAAGCUGUAUUUCUUAGUAUUUUAAGUAAACGAUGACGUUUUAAGGCACGUGCACAAUAAUCACAAGUUUUGUGCCCACCUGAAUGCUAUUUAAAUAGCUUUAUUACACACCCAAAAUUAACGGUAAAUCCAAAAGCACAACUGUAAUUAGAAGCUAAUUUCUAACCAUGUUCGUCUGUUUAAUGUAGGAAACAUAGGGCUAAUACCAAAUGUAAAUGUUUUCUGAUCUAUACUGAGACAUGAUUGUAAUUUAGUAUAGCCACACUGUCUAAAAUGUAGAAGCAAUUCAUGCAUUGCGUGUUUUAUAAAAUUUGAAUAUAUUUCAACUUCAAGAUUGUAUUACAGGAGCCAGCUAUAGAUGUAUACCAUUCUGCAUAACCAAAAUUUUCGUUUCUUUUGAAACAGAUUAUAAAUACGAAACGUACCGAAUAAAUAAGAGCGUUUUAUUAUUUGUAUAUAUAUAUAUAUGAACUUUUUUAGACCUAGUGAAGAAUCACGUGGACACAAGGAUUAGCAUAUCUUAAUUCCAUAAGUGUAAAUUAGAAAGAAAGUUACAAAUAUACUUAUUAGAGACUUUACUGAAAAAUAGUUUAACAGUUACAGAGAGCUCUGAUAGUCUCUGGACAUGGAACAGAACAACCAGGUGCGCUCUGCAGUGACAAAUCUUACCAUCAACGAUAAAUACAAGAUUGUAUUAAGCAUAUGAGCAAAAAUUGAAACAAUCAAACAAUAAAUAAUAGGUAUUAGAUGUGAAAUAUUUAAUAUCGUAAACGACUAAUAAAGUAUAACUGAGACCGGCUAUAGAUAGUUUUGAAAAUUACUAGUAUAGACACGGACAUAAGAAACUAGAACGCAUAGUUGACGAGAUCACGGGUGAACAUUUAUUUAAUCGCGAUCUGUUACAGACGACUUGUUGACAAGAGUGUAUCAAGUACAAACUUUCACGUCAAGUAAACAACUUGCUACAACGUGUACCUUGUUCGGAUCACAGCGUGUUACACUUUACACUGACUGAAGAAAUAAUGUUGAUUUUGAAUUAUUUUACAACUUUUUUUUAUUUUUUAGAGACUAUGAAGGUAAUAUAUAAAACUGUAUGUUAGAAAAGCAUAACGUUAAGUUUUAGUUAAUCUCAUACGAUUUCAAAUUUCAGAUCCAGUCUCUUAGAGUCUACAACUUAAUGUUAAGCACUCGCCUUAGAAUUAUAUUUAAAUAAAAACUUAAUUAUCUAAAGAUAUUUAUUAUCUAUAAGCCAUUCGAGAAAUAAAUAGUAACAGAAAUGUAACAUCUAAAACCGAUUAUAUUUAGCAACAACAUAAAAUAUAUGAAAAUACAUUUUCAAAAGUUAAUAAUCUCUUGGAUUCCUAAACACCUUAUAUAUGUAUGUAUGUAUUGAAAUCGGUAAUAUUCAUUUUCUGAAUUCAUUAACAUGAUCCAUCUGUUAAUGUUUUGGACUGCUUAUUGUGAACGUUAUAUUUUCAGUAUAUUAUUUACUAGUGAUAUAUGAAUGAUGUAUUUAGAGAAAACUUAACCAUGAGUUGGUUUCAUGUGAACAUGCAAAUGCUCAGGACGUUUUUACACAUGAACCCUGUUCCCCACUCCCUGAGACCCUAGGUUGUGAAGUUUUAAAGAUCACAGGCUAGAACCUCAGGCCCUGGGAGACAGGCUAAUAAAAGCUGCACUAGGAAGAAUUGACACUUCGGUUCUCAGAUCAGCUUGAAGUGGCGGUGACAGAUCUGCAAAAUUGACUUCAGGAAGAUUUUCUAUUUCAGGCAACUUGGCUUCCAAAUUAACUUGAAAUGGAAGUUUGUUAAGAACUCCAGUGUGAAUUCGAAAGAGUGUUUUCCUAAUUGAAGAAAGUAAUGAGAAAUGUUCUUUUUUGUACCAAUGUGGUUUUUAAUAAACAUUUAUUUCUGUAUAA